AAGCUCCCAUCUCCUCUCCCCAUGCCAACCAUGUUUAAACAUACUCUGUGUUUGUUGGAGGACAAGUUGAUUCUAGCUGUAUGUCUGAGCUACAGCCCUCGUUCUAGUGUGUUUCCAGCAGAGGAGCAAAAGCCUGGAGAGAGGUGAAACUUGGGAGCUGAGUUGAUCCAUUACCCUCCAGGGAGUGUUACUUACGACCUGAAAAGCCCCAUGGAGGACCAGGAGCUCCUUUGGAGGAUCAGGAACUGUGGGGAGAGCAAAAGAGAUACUCAAUUUGAAAAAGUAAUCCUUUGGAAAGCUAUAGUAUCUCAGUUUCUGCUCCAGACUGUCUUUUGCUAUGGCACAUGCCCGACCUGGGAGCUGGUGAGCACUGCCUCUCAGACCCCGGGGCAAAGGUCAGUAGCUGCAUAGUGGCCUCUGGAUUCCUCAGAUACCGACCCUCGUCAUGUGGGGAGGCAUUAACCUUUGGCCCUGAGGUGAAAGCAACACAGGCUUGGAGAUGAGGGUCCCAUAGUGGCCUGUCCCCGUUGGUCACUGCACUUCCAGCCUCGAGUCUCUACUGGGGAAGCUCUUCCUUUGAAGUACAUCUCACUUGGGUGGGAGCCAACAUCACGAGCAGGAAACUAAUAGCUUGUAAAGAGAAUCCCACAGGGUAUCAGAGGAAAUUUCUAGACCUGUUGGGAUCAGAAUUGGUGCAGAUCCACCUCAGUGGCUUUCCCCAGGCAGUCAGAAAGGCAAAGACAGGCUGCAACCAGGCCUGAAUGGACCCGUUCUUCUCAGCCAACCGCUAACACUUAAGGAUUUACAAAAAAUUUCCUUGCCAUUAUGUAGUUGGUGGUAAGCUUGCUCUGAGGGAAUGUGCUCACAGAAGGACAACUGCUUGGCAAAAUUACCUUUGAGGCUGUGCCAAUAACAGCUAGAGGAACUCAGGUGCAGCUCCAAAAAGGCUGCUCCUCCCUUAUGAGGGCCAUUGCAACAGGCAGACAUGGUAAUGUAGUGCUAAACUGCCUUCUCUUUCUCCCUAGUCUGAGAAAUGUGUCUCAGUGUAAAGGAACGAAUUACUUAUUUUUCAGGCCAUUAAACCAAAUGCAAUGUAUACAUGCCCCCCACAAUGUGCUCUGGCAUUGCUGCUGCUGCAAUCACAGCAGGAAAGGAUUUUGCUGCUGCUGUUGUCAUGUUUUUCUUGUGGCACAUUUUUAGACAAAGCUGUCUCUUGUUUUUGGAUUUUUUUUAAUGCACUGGGAAACUUCUGCUCUCGCUCCUUCACCAAUUUACUUUUCCAAAUCCCAGAAUUAAUUUUUCUGAAUGUUUCUUUGUUAUUUCUCAAUAAGUCUUCUUUUUUUUUUCCUUUCUCUUUCUCAUAUCAUGAGGUCUUUUUCCCCUCCUCAAACCAGUGACCAAAAGAAAGACCUUGAGUAACAAUCUCUCACCCUUAACCAUCUAAUUUUUUUAGCCCAGGCUUUUCUCCACCAUUCUGUCUUUUGUGUGUUGAAAGCCAGUUAUUACCUUGAUUACAGAGCAUCCCUUCAUGAUGAAAUAGCUCUGGUGCUGAGCAGGAGCACAGGCAAAGCUCAGACACCUACCCUUUCUUCAGACAAGCUUUCACGCUCCUGUGCUUAGAGACUGAUAAAAUUCCCCAUGUUAUGUACUGAAGUACUGAUGCACUAGUUUCCUUUUCCAUGGAUUCACAAUGAAAUGUGGUAGACUUGUUCUGUUUUAUUUUCUUUUUUAAAGUUCCUGCCCAGAUGUUUCCAAUUGAUUACCUUUUCUUUAAAUUUAACUUGUUUCUAUUUAAUUCUUACAUAUUCUAACAUUUUUGCCAAGACAUGUACUACUGAAGUCCAAGAGGAGAAGGGCUGCGUGUGGAGGCAAUAUUUUUUUCCCAGUGAGAUUCUCCCUGCCUCUGCUACACAAGUGUAAGUAGUUUUAACUGUCUUAUUUUACUUUAAUUUUUUUUUUGAUUGAGGAGCAGGUAAGGUAGCUGUAAAAAAACAGGAUCUGAGUUUUCCUUUUGCUAUGCUCUGACUUUUUCCAAGGCUUGUGAAGUAUUGAAGGGGUCUGGGAUGGGAAAAAUUAACAAAUGCCUCUUCCUUUGUAUCAGCAUGUUUUGUAAGGGCUGCCUUUCCGUUGUGAUGUCCCCUCUUUUGGCCUUGUUUUGCUCAUCUACACCAACUACCACUACUUUGGGCUGUGCUGCAAGCAGCAAACCACUGAAGGAGAGGAGGGUCCCUCUUAUUUGGAAGAAAGCUUCCCUUUUCUAGAUAUUCUUGGAGUGAGUUUGGAAUUAUCUUGUUGCUUUUGUGAAGAAUUUUGUCAUUUGUUACUUUGUGAUGUGGCAAAUCGAUUUGAAUUUCCCAGCUCUUCUGUAGCACGUCACUCUGUGUUCCACCUGUCUUGCCAGACAGAUUAGAUUUGCACUUGUAGAGUCUAAGCAAGCAUGGUGUUUGUACCAAUGAUGGAAAUAUUUUCUUCUUCCUAGUGACAUGACUGGGCAGACUGUGUAUGAAGAGUGUAUGUGCUCAGGUACAGGCAAUGUGUGUGUCUCAGGACUGUGUUUACAAGUGAUGCUCAGAAGACCAGUCCCUGGGCUUGCACUCUGCUGCUGCUGCUGCAUCCCUGGCUGGUGCUGCCCGUCCCUUCUCCCGUGGAACAACAGUGCCAACUGCUGGCUGCCGAGCCUCGCCUGCCAGGAACCGGCUGUGCCUGUUGGUGGAACUGAUCCUCUAAGCUUAGUUUUAGGGUCACCGCUACCUAAAACAAAGCAUCCCUUUCCUGAUGGUUUGGGUACUUCACAGAAAUAUCUCGGUUUGGUGGUCCUUGUUUCCACACCAAAGUAAUAUUCUACUGAGCUCAGGUGAGCCUGGGCCGAUUAACUUUCCUUGUAAAAUUUCUCACAUUCAUUUCGAAACUAAUUGUUAAUGAUGUUUUAAAACUCUGUGUCUCUCCUCAUCUCCCAGGGCUGGCUGCUCACAGAGAGGAGAAGGUUUCUGCUCUGAGCAGUGGAAGGGCCAUGAAAGGUGUUGUGUGCUCCCUGGAAGAUUUUAAUCAUGGAGUUGUGGUAGCAACUUGCCAUCUACAAAUUUGAGAUACACAUGUGUGUUAUAGCCACAAUGAACUCUGUGGAAAAUGAGAUGGUGGUUUAUGUAUUUCCGCACAGGGUACUACACAGUGGUUUUGUUCGGGGAAAAAAGGGAAAGAAAACGGGGAGGGUAAGAAAAAGAAGAUAAUAUGCAGGUGUACAUAUAAGUGUCAUUUUGUUUGAAUUUCAGUGAAAUGCUUUAAUAGAAAAAGUAGUUUGUUUGAAUUGUUGUUAUUUGUUUUGGUUUUUUUCACCAAGAAGAAUAUCAAAUGGGAAAGACAGGCCUGUUUCUUUAAAUGUUUCCCAUGAAAAAGUAUUCACAUUAUUUUUUUGCUCUAUAAAGCUCUGUAUGUUCCCUGCCUCCUUUCCUUUUCAGCCUGUGGUCUUAUUCUGGGGGGGUUACGGUGUUUGCAGGAGGUGGUAGUAGAGAGGACACAUGUAUGUGGAGUAGGAAAUGGGAAGGAAAAAAGUAUUAAAAAAGAAAUUUAGAGAGCUUUGCAGAGAAAGGGGAAAGAUGGUGAAUGGAUAAGCAAUAAACCUGGGAGAGAUGAUCAGGGGAAGUUUUCAGAGAAAAAAAAGGGUAGGGACAGGAAAAGACAGGCAGCCAAACAAACUGAAAGUGAGUUUAAUGAGUCAGUGUUUCUGUGUGUUUCUGGCAUCUCCCGUAGGGCCAUUUUUUACUUGCUCUCAGCCACAAAUGUUCUUCAUAAUUUUUGGAACAGAACGCAAGAGGAAAACUAAUAAAUCAGCUAUUCUUAAACAUAUGUGACAAGCCCAGGCUGAGGCGCAGGUGAACCACAGCCAUGUGAGGUCUCUUAAACCGAAGUUGGAGAACUUUGGCCACCACCACAGGUUUAGCACUGCAUCCAGCCCUCUGUUACUCUUUCACUCAUGUGGUGUUGUAUUCCCCCUCCAGCCCCAAUGUCUUCACAGGGAAAUCUAAAUGAGGCAGAAAGGAGAAAAAAAUAAAACUAAAACACCCAAAAAACCAACAGUAUUUUGAUGCUACCUUGAAAGACAGGAACAUCAAAACUCCUCCUGUGGAACUGAAACCUUAGGUUUUGGGGAGUUUAUUUUCAAGUAAAGCUUAUAAAUACUAUGAAAAAAGUAGCCCUCAGGCAGUCUGUCAUUGUAGCCCCAACUGGGAGCCCCAAGCUGGCUCUGGGUGCUGUUGGGGAUGGGAGGGCCACCACACUCCACUCAGCAGCGGAGGAAUUGUGCGCAAGUGCAGUUCUGCCUAUGUAGAGAGUUCCAUGCCAGUCAGGUGUUAUGCUAAAUGUCAGGAGUGGGAAAUUGGAGCAAUUAGGGGACAAUCUCAGUCAGUUUUUCAAGCCAUGCAACAAAAUAUUUCUUGUGAAAGAAAUUGACAUUCUGUGAAACUGAUUUCUUAAGUAUCAUAAAUCACAGGUUUUGGGUUAGAAAGGACCUUAAAGAUCACCUAAUUCCAACCCCCCUGCCUCUACCCCCCCCCCCGGGUAGAGACACCUUCCAGUAGACCAGGUUACUCAGAGCCCCAUCCAAC